rnacentral:rRNA from 1 species
AGUGAACGCUGGCGGUAGGCCUAACACAUGCAAGUCGAACGGCAGCACAGUAAGAGCUUGCUCUUACGGGUGGCGAGUGGCGGACGGGUGAGGAAUACAUCGGAAUCUACUUUUUCGUGGGGGAUAACGUAGGGAAACUUACGCUAAUACCGCAUACGACCUACGGGUGAAAGCAGGGGAUCUUCGGACCUUGCGCGAUUGAAUGAGCCGAUGUCGGAUUAGCUAGUUGGCGGGGUAAAGGCCCACCAAGGCGACGAUCCGUAGCUGGUCUGAGAGGAUGAUCAGCCACACUGGAACUGAGACACGUUCCAGACUCCUACGGGAGGCAGCAGUGGGGACUAUUGGACAAUGGGCGAAAGCCUGAUCCAGCCAUACCGCGUGGGUGAAGAAGGCCUUCGGGUUGUAAAGCCCUUUUGUUGGGAAAGAAAAGCAGCAGGUUAAUACCCCGCUGUUCUGACGGUACCCAAAGAAUAAGCACCGGCUAACUUCGUG